GAAGAUCAGCAGGUUGGUGGAGCCCUGCUGGGCCGGUGCAGCCCGGAACAACAUCUCUAGGACCACCGGCUGCCGGGCCAUGGACACGCAGACCUGAUGGGGAGCAGCAGGGUGUCAGUGAAUGAAAUGAUCAAACUGGACUGAAUGUGGAACCUGAACAAAGAUGAGUUUGACUCCCUGUACUAGAGUACACAUCAGAGAGGACUGCAGGUUUUCAUGUACCUGGUUGAGCAGCAGCACCAGACUGUUCUCCAGAGCCGAAGGACAGCCGAGUUCUGGGUCGGCACAAGCUCCCAGCAGCCUGAGCAGCGGGUGGAGGACGGCCGUGUGCUGCAGCAGAGGCUGCUGGGACUGACCUAUGAGCAUCUCAAAUAGCUUGAGCAGCGCCCCCUGGCUGUCGGGGUCCAGGCCUCGGCGGAGGUGCCACUGAACGAGGCUUUCCAGGAUGUUCUCGGUGACCACCAGCUCCAGGAUGGGGCCCAUCGGCGGCACGCUGGCGCCGCCGUCUGAGCUCUCAGCAGGUCGCUCCUCCGCCAGCAGACACAACAUCUGGUCGGUGUGAUUCCUCACCGCCGUCAGGUCAUCGCUGGAGGACGACGUUUCGUGCUGCUCCAACACCCAAGAGACCUGAGAAAGAGGAGGUGAGGAGGAGGUCCAGUCAACCUCCAGAACCACCACCACCUUUCCAGACCAGACAUUCCCCUCUCAUCAGCAGUUAGCAGCCUCGGUAUGAGACUGGACCUUCACCUGACAUUCAACAACUACAUCAAACAUCUGUGCAAGUCUUUGUUUUUCCACCUCUAUAAUAAUGCCAAACUCCGUCCCACCCUCGCCCUUUCUGAUACAGAGAAACUCAUCCAGCCUUUGUCUCCUCCAGGCUGGACUGUUGCAUACUGCUCAUCAGGAUCUCUAGCAAGAGCCUGCAAAAGCUCCAAUAUACUCAGAACAGCUGCUAGGAUCCUGGAGAGAAGCAAAACAACAUCACACUAUCCUCCGUUCACUCCACUGGCUCCCCAUCUCAUUCAGAAUCCAGGACUACAUUCAUGGCAACGCUCCGGAAUACUUCAAAGAACUCCUCUGCCUCCAAUCAUCUAAAAGAAACCUCCACUAAUAAUCAUCACCUCCUUCUCCGUCUGCACAGAACCAAGCUCCCGACCAUAGAGGCAGAACCUUCAAAACUCCCUCCCUGACCACCUGAGAGCUCAACAAACUGUGGGAGUUUUUUUAGAAAAAGCAGAAAAACCUUUCUCUUGAACAGAGCUUUUAAUUAAACGUGUCCCUGAAAUCUUUA